rnacentral:lncRNA from 1 species
UGAUGAUUCUGAUGUUGAUAUUAAUGUUGAUACUCCUGCUGCUAAAGCUUCUCAGUCAGACCAUGUUCUGCAUUUUCAGAAAUGAAAGAUGGUUAGAGGUAAGGUUGUAACUGGUUUUGGGGGUCCUGAUAUGGAAACUUUGAUCUCCAAAUUGAGGGCUCAGGGGUAGUCAUCCUUGCUUCUGCAAGGUAAUCAUCAAAGAAGGUUUGGAAAAGAUGAAGUCUAUGAAUUUUAUACACAUGGAGUUGCGAUUGGGG